GACGAACGCUGGCGGUGUGCUUAACACAUGCAAGUCGAACGGUAAGGCCCUUUCGGGGGUACACGAGUGGCGAACGGGUGAGUAACACGUGAGUAACCUGCCCUCAUCUCUGGGAUAACAGUCGGAAACGGUUGCUAAUACUGGAUAUGAGCUUGCAAGGCAUCUUGUGGGUUGGAAAGAUUUUUUUGGUUGGGGAUGGACUCGCGGCCUAUCAGCUUGUUGGUGAGGUAGUGGCUCACCAAGGCUUCGACGGGUAGCCGGCCUGAGAGGGCGCCCGGCCACAUUGGGACUGAGAUACGGCCCAAACUCCUACGGGAGGCAGCAGUGGGGAAUAUUGCACAAUGGACGGAAGUCUGAUGCAGCAACGCCGCGUGCGGGAGGACGGCCUUCGGGUUGUAAACCGCUUUCAAUUGUGACGAAGCUUUUUGUGACGGUAGCAGUAGAAGAAGCACCGGCUAACUACGUG
rnacentral:rRNA from 1 species